UACGUAGGGUGCGAGCGUUGUCCGGAAUUAUUGGGCGUAAAGAGCUCGUAGGCGGUGUGUCGCGUCGGUCGUGAAAACUUGGGGCUUAACCCUGAGCUUGCGGUCGAUACGGGCAUCACUGGAGUUCGGCAGGGGAGACUGGAAUUCCUGGUGUAGCGGUGAAAUGCGCAGAUAUCAGGAGGAACACCGAUGGCGAAGGCAGUUCUCUGGGCCGUAACUGACGCUGAGGAGCGAAAGCAUGGGGAGCGAACAGG
rnacentral:rRNA from 1 species